rnacentral:misc_RNA from 1 species
AAGUCGUAACAAGGUAACCGUAGGUGAACCUGCGGUUGGAUCAUUAAAAAAAUUGAAGCUUCAACCCUUUCAAAAGGGUAGAAGGUCAGCGCUCCUUUAACAAGGAGCUUGACUACUCCAAUUUUGUGAACUUGCAACCAAAAAAAUGUUUUGAUAGUGGUGAAAGAUUUGGGCCUUACAGCCCAAGUUUUUCCCUUCUUGAAAAAUUAUUAUUAACCCUGAAGAAAUAACUUGUCUUUACCGUUUUUUAUAAAUAAAAAUUAAUAAACAACUUUUGACAACGGAUCUCUAGGCUCUC